UCAGGACGAUGGGUCUGUGACGAUCAC
rnacentral:piRNA from 1 species